rnacentral:rRNA from 1 species
UACGGAAGGCAGCAGUGGGGAAUAUUGCACAAUGGGCGAAAGCCUGAUGCAGCUAUGCCGCGUGUAUGAAGAAGGCCUUAGGGUUGUAAAGUACUUUCAUCGGGGAGGAAAAAACAAAACUAAUAAUUUUAUUUCUUGACGUUACCCGAAAAAGAAGCACCGGCUAACUCCGUGCCAGCAGCCGCGGUAAUACGGAGGGUGCUAGCGUUAAUCAGAAUUACUGGGCGUAAAGAGCACGUAGGUGGUUUUUUUAAGUCAGAUGUGAAAUCCCUGGGCUUAACCUGGAACUGCAUUUUGAAACUGAAAUACUAGAGUAUUGUAGAGGGAGGUAGAAUUCUAGGUGUAGCGGUGAAAUGCGUAGAUAUCUGGAGGAAUACCUGUGGCGAAAGCGGCCUCCUAAACGAAUACUGACACUGAGGUGCGAAAGCGUGGGGAGCAAACAGGGAUUAGAUACC